CAUGACAGAUGAAAGUGUUAGCAGUUUGAUUAGGGAUCAACUCUGCUGCAGUGUUCUUCGAAAAGAAAACAAACAAUGAAGGAAAAGCCUAACUUAAAAGUCAGUUAAUCAAUUCUGAAACAGCACAACUCACAAGAACAGAAAGACAGACAUAUUCAAACGAAGAGAAUUCUCGCAAUGUACUGUCCCACGCUUGUUUUUCAGCCUAAUGACGUUUGGCCUAACGACUUUCGGUCGCAUGACCGAACUUCGUUUAGGCACUUUGAUCAAAACUGGCCGUUCAUAGUAUCAACCCACCUGCUUUCCUAUUUUUACCGCAGUGAUCCCACUGUGCAUCAAUUGUGCGGUGGCACACAUCAUAUAUCGUAAACAUCGGAAUACACCAACCAGACAUGCACACGAUAUUUGAUAUCUUUUUCUCCGCAGCAAGGCGUCGUCGUCGUGGGUCGGCAAGCGCUCGAGCUUGGACCAUGCCUGCCUCGUUCCGUACGCGGCUCGAGCCGGCCCAAAAGAAUGAGGAAACGUACGACCGACGUUCACCAAUGACUGGAUAGAAUCUCUCUAUAUUCCUUCAGCAGUCAGUAGUCCGCAGCAGCGUGGCUCGCUUCGAAUGGAGACGAGCAGAACCACUUAUCCCGCAGCAAUCUUCCGAAGUAUGAUGGGGCGGGAGCUCAAAGGUACGACACAGUCGUCGUUGGAUGGGAAUCGUAUAGUCUGCCUCAUCACAACAAGAUCAACAAGUGGGGCGGUAGAGCAACGGUAGCAAUCCCUGGAAAAAGAAUGCAAUGCGACCGCCACAGAUGGAAGAUUCCCUUCUGAUACCUUGUUCUGUGAUUGCUGGCGCUGUUAUGAUUCAUAAACGACCCCACCAAAGCUUGUUAGCUCAUGCUACCUUCGGAAUUGGAUUCUUACAACUUGUUUGAUCUUCCCUCGUGGUACGAUAAUGGUUCUGGAUUAGGAACAGAAGGUAUCGAAAGUAAGAGUGGUGUCUUUUUAUGGAAUGGUAUCAAGCCAUUGGCAAAGUUUUUUUUAUUGAAAUGUUUUGCUUUGGUGACCCACAUCUCAUCGUUUAUUACCAUUUUUGAAACACAUGUUUAACAUCUGAGAUUCAGAGUUGUGAUGCCCGAUCCUAGUGUUCGUCGUACACAACUUGAAGCGAAAAUCCCCUAUACUCAACAGACUAUCCAGAAGCAGCCACGCUGUCUCGACCGGCAAUCCGCCCUCCCCUUUGUGUUUCGACUACGACUUGAGUCGAACCUCCACACUCCAUAGUCCACAGCACCAACCAGCCCACGACGCGACGACCACCUCUAUUCUUUUCACGCCCGAGUCUAACCACAAGCACCAUCCGUAGAACGGAACGACGAUAGCAAUCCGGCUCUCGGUCGCAAUUCCGCUGCUUCUGUCUGGUGGUGUUCAUUCCCGUCUAGAAGAAGUCUAGAAUUCAAACCGCACCGGACGAUGGUCGCCGCGGCUCGUGCCAGACGACUUUCCUCUUCAAAGUUAAAUCCCACGGUUUUUACGCUGUCGUGACGGUUGUCGUCUCUCGUGCGAGUACGAACAUAUAAUAACAUAUUUUUAUGUCUCUGACUAUGCUUGCAAUCUAGCUCUCCUAGCAUCUGCCACUGUGUCGUAAAUGGGGGACCAUUGAAAUCCAGUCUACUCGUAGAAACGGGAG